rnacentral:tRNA from 1 species
AGAGUUUGAUCCUGGCUCAGGACGAACGCUGGCGGCGUGCCUAAUACAUGCAAGUAGAACGCUGAAGGAGGAGCUUGCUUCUCUGGAUGAGUUGCGAACGGGUGAGUAACGCGUAGGUAACCUGCCUGGUAGCGGGGGAUAACUAUUGGAAACGAUAGCUAAUACCGCAUAAGAGUAGAUGUUGCAUGACAUUUGCUUAAAAGGUGCACUUGCAUCACUACCAGAUGGACCUGCGUUGUAUUAGCUAGUUGGUGGGGUAACGGCUNGUUAUUAGAUACUAUUCUUACUUAUGUACCAGAAAAAAUGGUCUAUAUUUCUUGUAAUGUUUCGACCUUGGCUCGUGAUUUGGUACGCUUAGUAGAAGUCUAUGAUCUUCAUUAUAUCCAGUCGGUCGAUAUGUUCCCACAUACAGCUCGAACUGAAGCUGUUGUAAAAUUAAUAAAAAAAGUUUAAAAAAGUAGUUGACAAAGUUUGAAAAGACUGUAUAAUAGUAAGAGUUGAAAAUAACAACUCAGGUCCGUUGGUCAAGGGGUUAAGACACCGCCUUUUCACGGCGGUAACACGGGUUCGAAUCCCGUACGGACUAUGGUAUGUUGCGUCAGGACCACUUGAUGAAAAAAAGUUUAAAAAAGCUUAAAAAUCUUCAAAAAAGUGUUGACAAGUGAAAGUGGCUGUGAUAUACUAAUAUAGUUGUCGCUUGAGAGAAGAAGUGACAAAGACCUUUGAAAACUGAACAAGACGAACCAAUGUGCAGGGCGCUACAACGUAAGUUGUAGUACUGAACAAUGAAAAAAACAAUAAAUCUGUCAGUGACAGAAAUGAGUGAGAACUCAAACUUUUAAUGAGAGUUUGAUCCUGGCUCAGGACGAACGCUGGCGGCGUGCCUAAUACAUGCAAGUAGAACGCUGAAGGAGGAGCUUGCUUCUCUGGAUGAGUUGCGAACGGGUGAGUAACGCGUAGGUAACCUGCCUGGUAGCGGGGGAUAACUAUUGGAAACGAUAGCUAAUACCGCAUAAGAGUAGAUGUUGCAUGACAUUUGCUUAAAAGGUGCACUUGCAUCACUACCAGAUGGACCUGCGUUGUAUUAGCUAGUUGGUGGGGUAACGGCUCACCAAGGCGACGAUACAUAGCCGACCUGAGAGGGUGAUCGGCCACACUGGGACUGAGACACGGCCCAGACUCCUACGGGAGGCAGCAGUAGGGAAUCUUCGGCAAUGGACGGAAGUCUGACCGAGCAACGCCGCGUGAGUGAAGAAGGUUUUCGGAUCGUAAAGCUCUGUUGUAAGAGAAGAACGAGUGUGAGAGUGGAAAGUUCACACUGUGACGGUAUCUUACCAGAAAGGGACGGCUAACUACGUGCCAGCAGCCGCGGUAAUACGUAGGUCCCGAGCGUUGUCCGGAUUUAUUGGGCGUAAAGCGAGCGCAGGCGGUUAGAUAAGUCUGAAGUUAAAGGCUGUGGCUUAACCAUAGUAGGCUUUGGAAACUGUUUAACUUGAGUGCAAGAGGGGAGAGUGGAAUUCCAUGUGUAGCGGUGAAAUGCGUAGAUAUAUGGAGGAACACCGGUGGCGAAAGCGGCUCUCUGGCUUGUAACUGACGCUGAGGCUCGAAAGCGUGGGGAGCAAACAGGAUUAGAUACCCUGGUAGUCCACGCUGUAAACGAUGAGUGNNNNNNNNUAGGUGUUAGACCCUUUCCGGGGUUUAGUGCCGUAGCUAACGCAUUAAGCACUCCGCCUGGGGAGUACGACCGCAAGGUUGAAACUCAAAGGAAUUGACGGGGGCCCGCACAAGCGGUGGAGCAUGUGGUUUAAUUCGAAGCAACGCGAAGAACCUUACCAGGUCUUGACAUCCCUCUGACCGCUCUAGAGAUAGAGCUUUCCUUCGGGACAGAGGUGACAGGUGGUGCAUGGUUGUCGUCAGCUCGUGUCGUGAGAUGUUGGGUUAAGUCCCGCAACGAGCGCAACCCCUAUUGUUAGUUGCCAUCAUUUAGUUGGGCACUCUAGCGAGACUGCCGGUAAUAAACCGGAGGAAGGUGGGGAUGACGUCAAAUCAUCAUGCCCCUUAUGACCUGGGCUACACACGUGCUACAAUGGCUGGUACAACGAGUCGCAAGCCGGUGACGGCAAGCUAAUCUCUUAAAGCCAGUCUCAGUUCGGAUUGUAGGCUGCAACUCGCCUACAUGAAGUCGGAAUCGCUAGUAAUCGCGGAUCAGCACGCCGCGGUGAAUACGUUCCCGGGCCUUGUACACACCGCCCGUCACACCACGAGAGUUUGUAACACCCGAAGUCGGUGAGGUAACCGUAAGGAGCCAGCCGCCUAAGGUGGGAUAGAUGAUUGGGGUGAAGUCGUAACAAGGUAGCCGUAUCGGAAGGUGCGGCUGGAUCACCU